UACGUAGGGGCAAGCGUUGUCCGGAUUAUUGGGCGUAAAGAGCGUGUAGGCGGCUCGGUAAGUCCGCUCUGAAAGCCCGGGGCUCAACCCCGGGAGGCGGGCGGAUACUGGUCGGGCUAGAGUCCGGAAGAGGCGAGUGGAAUUCCUGGUGUAGCGGUGGAAAUGCGCAGAUAUCGGGAGGAACACCUGCGGCGAAGGCGGCUUCCUGGACCGUAACUGACGCGUGAGGCGCGAAAGCCUAGGGGAGCAAACAGGG
rnacentral:rRNA from 1 species